rnacentral:rRNA from 1 species
UACAGAGGUCUCGAGCGUUGUUCGGAUUCAUUGGGCGUAAAGGGUGCGUAGGUGGCUAGGUAAGUCGGAUGUGAAAUCCCGGGGCUCAACCCCGGAACUGCAUUCGAUACUGCCUGGCUGAGAGUACUGGAGAGGAGAUUGGAAUUUACGGUGUAGCAGUGAAAUGCGUAGAUAUCGUAAGGAAGACCAGUGGCGAAGCGGAUCUCUGGACAGUUACUGACACUGAGGCACGAAGGCCAGGGGAGCAAACGGG